UACGGAGGUGGCAAGCGUUGCUCGGAAUCACUGGGCGUAAAGCGCACGUAGGCGGAUUGCUAAGUCAGGGGUGAAAUCCUGGAGCUCAACUCCAGAACUGCCUUUGAUACUGGCGAUCUUGAGUCCGGGAGAGGUGAGUGGAACUCCGAGUGUAGAGGUGAAAUUCGUAGAUAUUCGGAAGAACACCAGUGGCGAAGGCGGCUCACUGGCCCGGUACUGACGCUGAGGUGCGAAAGCGUGGGGAGCAAACAGG
rnacentral:rRNA from 1 species